rfam:Caenorhabditis brenneri strain PB2801 C_brenneri-6.0.1_Cont2.52, whole genome shotgun sequence.
CUGGGACUAGGCGGAAGUAUAGAGGGUAUACUUCAUCAAGUAACUAUACCCGUAUAUAUUUCUGCUUAGCCCCU